rnacentral:rRNA from 1 species
UACGGAGGGUGCGAGCGUUGUCCGGAAUCACUGGGCGUAAAGGGCGCGUAGGCGGCCUGGUAAGUAGGGGGUGAAAUCCUGCGGCUUAACCGCAGGGCUGCCUUCUAAACUGUCAGGCUCGAGCACGGUAGAGGCAGAUGGAAUUCCCGGUGUAGCGGUGGAAUGCGUAGAGAUCGGGAAGAACAUCAGGGGCGAAGGCGGUCUGCUGGGCCGUUGCUGACGCUGAGGCGCGACAGCGUGGGGAGCAAACAGG